rnacentral:rRNA from 1 species
GACGAACGCUGGCGGCGUGCUUAACACAUGCAAGUCGAACGGAAAGGCCCUGCUCUUGUGGGGUGCUCGAGUGGCGAAAGGGUGAGUAACACGUGAGUAACCUGCCCUUGACUUUGGGAUAACUUCAGGAAACUGGGGCUAAUACCGGAUAGGAGCUCCUGCUGCACGGUGGGGGUUGGAAAGUUUCGGCGGUUGGGGAUGGACUCGCGGCUUAUCAGCUUGUUGGUGGGGUAGUGGCUUACCAAGGCUUUGACGGGUAGCCGGCCUGAGAGGGUGACCGGCCACAUUGGGACUGAGAUACGGCCCAGACUCCUACGGGAGGCAGCAGUGGGGAAUAUUGCACAAUGGGCGGAAGCCUGAUGCAGCAACGCCGCGUGCGGGAUGACGGCCUUCGGGUUGUAAACCGCUUUCGCCUGUGACGAAGCGUGAGUGACGGUAAUGGGUAAAGAAGCACCGGCUAACUACGUG